AUUGAACGCUGGCGGCAGGCUUAACACAUGCAAGUCGAGCGGGGUGAUGGUGCUUGCACUAUCACUUAGCGGCGGACGGGUGAGUAAUGCUUAGGAAUCUGCCUAUUAGUGGGGGACAACAUAUCGAAAGGGAUGCUAAUACCGCAUACGUACUACGGGAGAAAGCAGGGGAUCACUUGUGACCUUGCGCUAAUAGAUGAGCCUAAGUCGGAUUAGCGAGAUGGUGGGGUAAAGGCCGACCAAGGCGAAGAUCUGUAGCGGUUCUGAGAGGAGGAUCCGCCACACUGGGACUGAGACACGGCCCAGAAUCCUCCGGGAGGCGGCAGUGCGGAAGAUUGGACAAUGGGGGGGACCCUGCUCCAGACAUGCCGCGUGUGUGAAGAAGGCCUUAUGGUUGUAAAGCACUUUAAGCGAGGAGGAGGCUCGUUUGGUUAAUACCCAAGAUGAGUGGACGUUACUCGCAGAAUAAGCACCGGCUAACUCUGUGCCAGCAGCCGCAGUAA
rnacentral:rRNA from 1 species